UACGGAGGGAGCUAGCGUUGUUCGGAAUUACUGGGCGUAAAGCGCACGUAGGCGGCUUUGUAAGUUAGAGGUGAAAGCCCGGGGCUCAACCCCGGAAUUGCCUUUAAGACUGCAUCGCUUGAAUCCAGGAGAGGUGAGUGGAAUUCCGAGUGUAGAGGUGAAAUUCGUAGAUAUUCGGAAGAACACCAGUGGCGAAGGCGGCUCACUGGACUGGUAUUGACGCUGAGGCGCGAAAGUGUGGGGAGCGAACAGG
rnacentral:rRNA from 1 species